CGGAAGAUCACAGAGCUUGCUUCCAAAGCAUCACCCAUUCAUAUGUGACCCAGGCCUGAUCCUGAGCCCGCGCCUCCCACUGUGCCCUGCUCGGCAGGUUUGAUAUCUCCGGGGCCCAAAGUCAGCGGAGCCAAAGAACAACAAACCCACCUCAUGCCAAGCUGAACACUGACAGAUCAUUGGCCCUCUAGAAUUGAUGUGACGGCCUGGCAGAAACCCAGCCUGUGACAUCGCUGCCAUGGAGACAGUUCUGACUGCACAGGUAUACGUGGAUACGACUGUACGUGAACAGAGCUGGACAUAAGUUCAGCCAUCUGCAACAGAUUGGAGUCUGAAGGGACUUUGAUUUCAUGGUGUAACACGUGGACAGCAAAGAAAGACCAAAAAGACCUAUAAACAAUCCACUUCCCGGAAGAAACAGGGCAGAAAACACCAGCUCUUUGCUUUCAAAUCAACAGAGCCAUUCGGCAGAUUUCACUCCGCAAGGAAAGAGGAGGCAGCGAGGAAGGCCGAACAUCCCCCGCCUGGUCCCCAGCGUGCUGGCAUUGCACGGAGACGGAGUGUGUGGCCUCGUACACAACUCUACAGUGCUGGACAACAAUGAGACUCGUGUCUCUGCCGUACAGAGGCAAGGAGCCCCCCGAGGCAGGAUGGCCCAGUGGGUAGGGUGCUAGCCAAGGACUCUGGAGAGCUUGGCGCAUGAAGCUAAGGUCUCCCGUGCGUCCGAAGCCAGAGGACAAGGGCCAGGCACGUGCGGAUUCAUUAGCUAUUCUCUGUUGCUGACGAACAUGGAUUCCUUACAGCAGGAAGUGAGGAACACCGAAGCCACGCGAUCGCCACUCUUCACAGUCCCGGUUCCUGAAAGCCGCACGAAGCAGCUGGGGCCGAGGCCCCGCUGAAUGGGGACGCGCUGCUCGGAGGAGACAACUCCCAAGGUUUCGGCAGAGCAGGCAACGCCCUCAUCCAGGCAGGAAUUGGCACCAGCAUGGGCGACCCAGCUGCAUUCCUCCCAGGCUGGCAAAGGCAGCAGGGUGUGCCCUCCACCUCAUCCUCUUCCUCCGCCCGCUCCCGCCCCCCCGGCUAAACAUCCCCACUCGUUGCUGGGAUAUCGCUAUAAACAAAACAGGGCGGGGCCCUCUCUCUCCGCUGGGCCCAUCCAGACGCCCCAGAGCACCACCCAUGGAGCCGCCGCAGUGCACACACAUGCCAGUACUUUGCUACCCGGCAGGGAACGCUUGCCUCCCUGGAAGCAGUGAGCUAGUCCUUGCACGUCUCGCUGUAACAGGGAAAAGGAAUGGAGACACGGCCCUGAGAAGAAGUGCAAAGUUCCCUCCAGGAGUUCCAGCGAGUCAUGUCCUUGGAGUCAGGGCUGUGCUGGCAGGACAAAUACAGCCUGGCCUAUCUGUCACCCUUAGGGACACAGUAAUGUGGGAGACCAGCCUUCAUGCUUCAGGUCAUGAGCUGAUGGCUGGCCGGGGUCAGGAAGGAAGUCCCUCUGCCCAGUGUAGAGUGUAGCACAGAGGUUUUCCUGUAGCAGUGUCCAAGGCAGGAUACUGGGCGCGAUGGAGCAUCUCAGGAUCUCAUGGAACAUGCCUUGGGGAGGGCAUGGUAGAGGGUCCCUUGAUCUCUGCUGGCAAGGCAGGAGCGGGUCCUCCUAGUGAAUAUUACAUCACUGAAGUGCCCGGAGGCUCCGAUGAAGGUCAGGGCCCUGCUGGGCUAAGCACUGUAGGAGUCCCUGCCCCCAGGAGCUUACAAUCACUGUCGGCCCAAGAGUGGGAGGGGAAACGCAAA